rnacentral:rRNA from 1 species
UACGUAGGGCGCAAGCGUUAUCCGGAAUUAUUGGGCGUAAAGAGCUCGUAGGCGGUUUGUCGCGUCUGCCGUGAAAGUCCGGGGCUCAACUCCGGAUCUGCGGUGGGUACGGGCAGACUAGAGUGCGGUAGGGGAGACUGGAAUUCCUGGUGUAGCGGUGAAAUGCGCAGAUAUCAGGAGGAACACCGGUGGCGAAGGCGGGACUCUGGGCCGAUACUGACGCUGAGGAGCGAAAGCGUGGGGAGCAAACAGG